rnacentral:misc_RNA from 1 species
GUGAACGCCCUCACGGGCUUAUACUAUUCCAAACCUCUGUGAACCGUGCCCUUCGGGGCUAUUUUACAAACAUGGUGUAAUGAACGUCAUAUAUCAUAACAAAACAA